GACGAACGCUGGCGGCGUGCUUAACACAUGCAAGUCGAACGAGUGGCGAACGGGUGAGUAAUACGCGAGUAACCUGCCCUCUUUUUGGGAUCAGCCUUGGAAACGGGGUCUAAUACCGGAUACAGGGGGAUGGGCUCGCGGCCUAUCAGCUUGUUGGUGGGGGGAUGGACUACCCAGGCGGUGCCGGGUAGCCGGCCUGAGAGGGUGGACGGCCACAUUGGUACUGAGAUACGUCCCAGACUACGUCGGGAGGCAGCAGUGGGUGAUAUUGCACAAUGGGCGAAAGUCUGAUGUAGCGACUCCGCGUGGGGGAUGAAGUCGUUCGGGUUGUAAACCUCUUUCGCUAGCGAACGGGUAGGUGGAGAAGAAGCGCCGGCUAACUACGUGCCAGCAGCCGCGGUAAUAC
rnacentral:rRNA from 1 species